rnacentral:rRNA from 1 species
UACGUAGGGUGCGAGCGUUAAUCGGAAUUACUGGGCGUAAAGCGUGCGCAGGCGGUGAUGUAAGACAGAUGUGAAAUCCCCGGGCUUAACCUGGGAACUGCAUUUGUGACUGCAAGGCUAGAGUACGGUAGAGGGGGAUGGAAUUCCGCGUGUAGCAGUGAAAUGCGUAGAUAUGCGGAGGAACACCGAUGGCGAAGGCAAUCCCCUGGACCUGUACUGACGCUCAUGCACGAAAGCGUGGGGAGCAAACAGG